rnacentral:rRNA from 1 species
AUUGAACGCUGGCGGCAUGCUUUACACAUGCAAGUCGAACGGUAACAGGCCGCAGGGUGCUGACGAGUGGCGAACGGGUGAGUAAUGCAUCGGAACGUGCCCAGUCGUGGGGGAUAACGCAGCGAAAGCUGCGCUAAUACCGCAUACGAUCUAUGGAUGAAAGCGGGGGACCGUAAGGCCUCGCGCGAUUGGAGCGGCCG